CACUCUUGCCCUGUCCUGAGCCUCCAGGUUCAUCUCCGGCAUCUACUGGCCUCCAGAGAAAAAGAACAGAAGUUCCCAGCGGCGGUUCUGCAACAGCUCGAGCGCGGGGGACACGCGCAGCAGACGGCCCCAGACGCCUCAAGGCUGCGCGCGAAGACACGGCGCAGGCAGACUCACAGACGGGGCUCCCCCACCCUGGACACGGCGGCAGCGAGUUGGGAAGCCCAGGAAACCCCGGGUUCCCGUCGGAAGCCUCCCGACCUCGGGAAGGGCGAGUCUUAAAGGAGCCACUCCUAGUUGAAGACUGGACCGUGGGAAUCCGGGAGAAUCCCUCCCUCAGACCC
rnacentral:lncRNA from 1 species